UUUGAUAGAGGUCGCGCGCCUGAUCAGUAGACUGCCGGAUGUUCCCGGAUACAGAGGAAGGCAGAGGAAAGGGAGGCGCGCCGAAGGUAUGCUGUGAUCGGGGGCAGCAGUUCCUGGGUGCAGAUCGAACAGGUCUGCAACUGUCAUCAUGCACGUGAUGGAGCGCUAUG
rnacentral:ncRNA from 1 species